rnacentral:rRNA from 1 species
AGCGAACGCUGGCGGCAGGCCUAAUACAUGCAAGUCGAGCGCACCUUCGGGUGAGCGGCGGACGGGUGAGUAACGCGUGGGAACGUGCCCUUUGGUACGGGAUAACUGAGGGAAACUUCAGCUAAUACCGUAUGUGCCCUACGGGGGAAAGAUUUAUCGCCAUUGGAGCGGCCCGCGUUGGAUUAGCUAGUUGGUGAGGUAAAGGCUCACCAAGGCUACGAUCCAUAGCUGGUCUGAGAGGAUGAUCAGCCACACUAGGACUGAGACACGGCCCAGACUCCUACGGGAGGCAGCAGUAGGGAAUCUUGCGCAAUGGGCGAAAGCCUGACGCAGCCAUGCCGCGUGAAUGAUGAAGGUCUUAGGAUUGUAAAAUUCUUUCACCGGGGAAGAUAAUGACGGUACCCGGAGAAGAAGCCCCGGCUAACUUCGUGCCAGCCGCCGCCGUAACAC